UUUUACCAGUCUGGCAAGUGAAGUCACUCCAUGCUCCUUCUCUGCCAAACAAUAGAAGAAUGGCUAAUAUCUUUUGAUGGAGAUGCAACCAAGUUCUUUGGUGUGGAACUCUGGCUGCUACAUUCAGACUGGAUCAACACAGCUGCCGGACCCCAGAGGACAGCACCACCAGAACCCCAUCAAGCCUGUACCCACAGCAACAGGAACUUUUGUGAGUAAUAAAAAUGUGUUUGGGCUUC